UUCUUUUUUUUUUUGCUUUCUCGGGUAUCGAAGAUAACCCAGAUUCGUAGCUUGAAAAAUUCAUAAGCUCCGAGUAGAUUGAUGAUAAUUGGAUCCGAGUUUGGUUCAUCAAUCUGCUUUUUCCUUGUCCAAUCAAAACAAUAAAAUCAACCCCAAUUCAAUCUCUACUCCUGCGUCGCCUCCGGUUAAUAAUCCAUCACCACCGCCACCGGUUGGUCCAAUCUGCGUUGACUCCUCCUUACAAUCCAACGGUGGUAUUAUUAUGACUCAUCCUAAUUCUUCGUGGCCAUCAUUAUCAUUACCUCCGCCUCUCAGAUUGCAACGCGAGGAGGAAGACAAGCAAUGAGCUAAGAAAUUGUUGUUGCAUAUCGAUCGAAGACAUUAUUAUAUAUGUGAGGACGGUCAUGUUAGGUAUUCAUGGAGACUAACGACUGAGGAAAAAAUAGAACUAGAGAGGAGGCGCUAGGGUUUCCUGUGAAGGAGAAAGAUGAAAAAAAUAUUAAAAAAUUAAAUAUGUAUUUGGGCAGGCUCGAACGUGUUUCUGAAGCAUUAGACAUAUUACUUAUUACCACUAGACCAAUUUAAGAUAAUCGUAUUUA